GUGUAUACAUACACACACACACACACAUAUAUAUAUAUAUGUGUGUGUGUGUGUAUAUAUAUAUAU